CUCGUAGGCGGCUUGGUAAGUCGGGUGUGAAACCUCCAGGCUCAACCUGGAGACGCCACUCGAUACUGCCAUGGCUAGAGUCCGGUAGGGGCCCACGGAAUUCCUGGUGUAGCGGUGAAAUGCGCAGAUAUCAGGAGGAACACCGGUGGCGAAGGCGGUGGGCUGGGCCGGAACUGACGCUGAGGAGCGAAAGCGUGGGGAGCGAACA
rnacentral:rRNA from 1 species